UGUUAUCGAUAUGUGAAUACAUAGCAUAUCAGAAGGCACACCCGGAGAACUGAAACAUCUUAGUACCCGGAGGAAGAGAAAGAAAAUUCGAUUCCCUUAGUAGCGGCGAGCGAAACGGGAAGAGCCCAAACCAACAAGCUUGCUUGUUGGGGUUGUAGGACACUCUAUACGGAGUUACAAAGGACGACAUUAGACGAAUCAUCUGGAAAGAUGAAUCAAAGAAGGUAAUAAUCCUGUAGUCGAAAAUGUUGUCUCUCUUGAGUGGAUCCUGAGUACGACGGAGCACGUGAAAUUCCGUCGGAAUCUGGGAGGACCAUCUCCUAAGGCUAAAUACUCUCUAGUGACCGAUAGUGAACCAGUACCGUGAGGGAAAGGUGAAAAGCACCCCGGAAGGGGAGUGAAAUAGAACCUGAAACCGUGUGCUUACAAGUAGUCAGAGCCCGUUAAUGGGUGAUGGCGUGCCUUUUGUAGAAUGAACCGGCGAGUUACGAUUUGAUGCAAGGUUAAGCAGUAAAUGUGGAGCCGUAGCGAAAGCGAGUCUGAAUAGGGCGUUUAGUAUUUGG
rnacentral:rRNA from 1 species